UACAGAGGUCCCAAGCGUUGUUCGGAAUUACUGGGCGUAAAGCGCACGUAGGCGGCUUUGUAAGUUAGAGGUGAAAGCCCGGGGCUCAACUCCGGAAUUGCCUUUAAGACUGCAUCGCUAGAAUUGUGGAGAGGUAAGUGGAAUUCCGAGUGUAGAGGUGAAAUUCGUAGAUAUUCGGAAGAACACCAGUGGCGAAGGCGACUUACUGGACACAUAUUGACGCUGAGGUGCGAAAGCGUGGGGAGCAAACAGG
rnacentral:rRNA from 1 species